CAGUCCAUCUAUACCUAGGGUUCCUAACGAAACAACCCUUCAAGAAAUCUUUUGCAUCCUUCGAUAAGUUUCCAGGAAUUUUAGGCAAUUCUUUCCCUCCCCCUAUCUUCUUAAGUACAUCCUCAGCAUCCAUCUCAUCAUCCCUAUCCCACGGAGGUUUUCCAGUUAACAUCUCAAGCACAAUACACCCUAAAGCCCAAAUAUCAGCAGGACAGUCUUG
rnacentral:misc_RNA from 1 species